rnacentral:rRNA from 1 species
GAGUUUGAUCAUGGCUCAGAACGUACGCUGGCGGCACGCCUAAUACAUGCAAGUCGAACGAACUACCUAUACUUGAGUGGCAGACGGGUGAGUAACAUGUGGGUAUCUACCCUUUGGCCUGGAAUAACACUCAGGAAACUUGUGCUAAUACCGGAUAAGUCUUUACGGAGAAAGCUUUAUGCACCAUUGGAUGAGCCCGCACUUGAUUAGUUUGUUGGGAGGGUAAUGGCCUACCAAGACUAUGAUCAAUAGCUGAUUUGAAAGGAUGAUCAGCCACAUUGGGACUGAAACACGGCCCAAACUCCUACGGGAGGCAGCAGUGGGGAAUCUUGCACAAUGGAGGAAACUCUGAUGCACCGAUGCCGCGUGAGUGAAGAAGGCCUUUGGGUUGUAAAGCUCUUUCGUCGAGAAAAAAAAUGACUGUACCCGAAUAAAAACGUCCGGCUAACUUCUUGCCACCAGCCGCGGUAAUACGAAGGGACCUACCGUAUUUCGGAAUUACUGGGCUUAAAGAGUUCGUAGGUGGUUGAAAAAGUUGGUGGUGAAAUCCCAGAGCUUAACUCUGGAACUGCCAUCAUAACUUUUCAGCUGGAGUAUGAUAGAGGAAAGCAGAAUUUCUAGUGUAGAGGUGAAAUUCGUAGAUAUUAGAAAGAAUACCAAUUGCGAAGGCAGCUUUCUGGAUCAUUACUGACACUGAGGUACGAAAGCAUGGGUAGCGAACAGGAUUAGAUACCCUCGUAGUCCAUGCCGUAAACGAUGUGUGUUAGACGUUGGAAAUUUAUUUCAGGGUCGCAAGGCAAACGAUAACACAUCCCCUGGGGAGUACGACUGCACGGUGAGAAGCUCAAUUGAAUUGACGGGGACUCCGCACAAAUCGGUGGAUGAUGUCGUUUAAUUUGAUGCAUCGCGAAUAACUUGACGUACCGUUGACAUGUAUGGAACUUCCCAGAGAUGGCUUGGUGCUCGAGAGAGAGCAGUUACACUGGUGGUGCAUGGUGUCAGUCAGCUCAUGUCGUGAGAUGUUGGGUUAAGUCAGACAAUGAGUGCAAUCCUUGUCAUUAGUUGAUACAUUUAGUUGGGCACUCAUAAUGAGACUGCCGGUGACAAACCGGAGGAAGGUGGGGAUGACGUCAAGUCCUCAUGGCCGUUAUGGGUAGGUCUAUCACCCGUCAUACAAUGGCUGGUACAAAGGGUUGCCAACCCGGGAGGGGGAGCUAUUCCCAUAAAGCCAGUCGUAGUCCGGAUGGUUGUGUGCAUCUAGACUACGAGAUGUGGGAAUCGCUAGUAAUCGUGGAUCAGAAUGUCACGGUGAAUAUGUUCCGGGGUUUUGUACACACCGCGUGUCACACCAUGGGAGGGGGUCUCCCCAGAAGUAGUUAGCCUACCUUCAAGGGGGGAGAUUACCACGGUGGGGUUAGUGACUGGGGUGAAGUCGUAACAAGGUAACC